GCGGUGCUCCAUACCGUCCUAGAGGAGCCUGUCCUAUAAUCGAUAACCCACGCUGUACCCCACCACCCCUUGCAACUCAGCCUAUAUACCGCCGUCGUCAGCCCACCUUGUGAAAGGAAACCAAAGUGGACAAAAUAGUUAAUAACUAAAACGUCAGGUCAAGGUGUAGCCUAUGAGGUGGAAGAGAUGGGCUACACUCUCUACCACAGAACAUACGAAUAGCACAGUGAAAUCUGUACUUGAAGGUGGAUUUAGCAGUAAGAUAAAUAAGAAAAUUUACCUGAAACCCGCUCUGGAGCGCGCACACACCGCCCGUCACCCUCAUCACACCAACCCCCUUAACUAACAUAUAAAAAUCUCCACAGAACAGAUGAGGAAAGUCGUAACAUGGUAAGCGCACCGGAAGGCGUGCUUGGAUUAACAAACAGUAGCUUAACAUAAAGCAUUCAGCUUACAAUUGAAACAUGUUAGUGAAACCCUAACCUUUUUGA
rnacentral:rRNA from 1 species